GAUGAACGCUGGCGGCGUGCCUAAUACAUGCAAGUCGAGCGAACAGACGAGGAGCUUGCUCCUCUGACGUUAGCGGCGGACGGGUGAGUAACACGUGGAUCACCUACCUAUAAGACUGGGAUAACUUCGGGAAACCGGAGCUAAUACUGGAUAAUAUAUUGAACCGCAUGGUUCAAUAGUGAAAGACGGUUUUGCUGUCACUUAUAGAUGGUUCCGCGCCGCAUUAGCUAGUUGGUAAGGUAACGGCUUACCAAGGCAACGAUGCGUAGCCGACCUGAGAGGGUGAUCGGCCACACUGGAACUGAGACACGGUCCAGACUCCUACGGGAGGCAGCAGUAGGGAAUCUUCCGCAAUGGGCGAAAGCUUGACGGAGCAACGCCGCGUGAGUGAUGAAGGUCUUCGGAUCGUAAAACUCUGUUAUUAGGGAAGAACAAAUGUGUAAGUAACUAUGCACGUCUUGACGGUACCUAAUCAGAAAGCCACGGCUAACUACGUG
rnacentral:rRNA from 1 species